rnacentral:miRNA from 1 species
UCAUGGUUUCCACCCUUUGUCC